GAGUAAAUGCGUAUAAAUUAUAAAAUGAAUAUCUUUAUUACAACUGAAUCAAGGAUCAGUUCAAGGAAUGCGGAAGCGUAAAAUAAAUACAUGAAGAGUGGGGCGCCACAGGGACGUCGACUGGGAGACAAACGCCUAGAAGUCAUCGAAACCGCUGACGUAGUCCUCCACGUUGCCGAGCACUGAGCGGCAGUCGAAGAGGUCCCAUAGAGAACAGAAGAGAUGGAGAGGCAAGUGUGAGUACAAACUAGUACUCAACAAGUAUAACACAAACUAUGAGGCUCUAGGCUAGCUGACUCAACUGCAGUAGCUUUUAAUCUUGGCAAAUUUUAUUAAAACUAUUUACUAUAAGUGGAUGAAUUACCAUAAACCCAUAUUGCAUAAGAAAUUAAUCAAUAUUAAUUAAGAACUACUGAGAACUAUCCAAACCAAAACCACCCGGGGAAUCUCCGUAAUCAAAGGUUGAUAACCCCACUAAUCAAAAGGAGGAUCUGGGCCGCUCAUGACUGUGAGCACAGCUAAUAUAUCAGUUUUACACUCUCGAGAGGUUGCACAACUUUACCCACAAGUCGUGAGCUAUGCUAGUUGUUCAUCACACUUCCUUAGGUGAGAUGGCUAGCAAGCGCACUACGAGACCGUUACAAAGGAUCACGUUGGUAAGGUGUAACCGCUAAGGAUUCUGGAUCAGCAACGAUGGGGCCCACCUCCGGGGGUACAAGACACACAGCACAGACCAAGCCGGAGGAGUAGGGACCAUUGAAGCUUACCACCCCUCUUGCCCACGCAGGUAAGUUACUCCCGAACCAAACUGACCUAAUUAAUAAGUCAAGACCAUCCCAUUCCAGUCUUGUGGUUGCGCGGUUGUCCCAGGUUGUCGCUCUAUGAACCGGCCCUUAUGGAGAGUGGCCAACCAAGCACUAAGCACCGUGCUGGCCCCCUAAACCAAGUUUCUAACAAAACAUCUUUUACAGAGACGUGAGCCACUCAAGCACACAGCACAGAGGGCCACUCUCGGGAUUAAGUUGCAUAAGACCAUUAAUCAAAUUUAAUUAAAAAGGACCAAGUUUGUUAUAGCGCAGCAACCUAGCACAACUAACCACAAUGCAACCCAAAGGAUAUAUAUGUAGGAUAUAAAGUGGCUAGGAAAGUCCUUAUAGGCAUACAGGAUUAAAAUGCAGUAUGAAAUCUGUAUUUAAAAGUGAUAGGAUGUUCAUAUUAUACUUGCCUUCCUCAAAGUUCUGCUGCUACUGCUCAAAAGCUUCAGAAGAUGGCGGCUCCUGGUACUGGUCCAAACGCUCCGCGUCUACUCACGAUCAUCAAGCAUAGUCCACACAUACACACAUGCACAAAUAAUAGCAAACUAUAAGAAAACAGUACACCAAUACAAUAGAAUAGCAUACAAAACUGGCCUAGAACUAUUCUACGUGUUACAACGAUCGCGUGGAUAUAAAGAACACCGAAAACGGAGCUAAGACGCGAAAUCUACGCUUGAAACAAGAUCCAGGGACCUAUUUGUAAGAGAACUGGAGGUUCUAAGGGGUUCUGCACAAAAAUCGAGGGCUUAAACGUAAAUAAAGGGUAGACACAGGGGCUAGCAUGUGAAAACACGAGGCACGAACUGCGGGCACUAAAUCCAGGAAGCUCAGGGGGGUCCGUGCAAGAUUUUGGGUCAUCCUGGGAUUAUUUCUCAACUAACUAGGACUGCGGGCUGAUUUCUCCAAAAGGCAGGGGCUCUUUAGCAAAACUAGCGGGCUGAAACGGUAUCUUCCGUUCUGGGCACUCGCUGGAUCGGGCGGCUGAGAUUAGACUUACUAAACGAAGGGGUACGCUUGAUUCUCAUCCAUCCGAUCGGGAUCUAACGCGCCAGAGCCUAACAUAAAGGGAAUUCAAUCCCGCGCGCCGGAUCAAGGAUGGACGGCCGGGAUUUAAGACAAGGGCGAACCGGUACGAGGGAAACACAUCCGCUGGAUCACGAUCGGACGGUCGGGAUCAAUGGGCUAAGGAUCUAAUCUUACCCACUGGCCGCAGAUCGAACGGCUCAGAAGAAAGAGGGGGUCCGGGCGGCGGUGAAGGUCACCGGAGCUCCUUCCCGCGGCGGCGCUUCGCCGGAGCUGGCCUAACUUGGUGCUCCGGGCUCGGUUUUGGACACGAUCUGGUCCGGGAGCGGGAGCAGGACAUGGCGAACACGUCCACGUACUCGAGGUGGUGGAUUAGGGUUCGGGUCAUGGCUCCCCACGGCGGGGGCGGCACGGGGUCGCCGGUGUGCCGGGGUUGGGCUGCUGCGAGGGUUUACAGACUACCACACCUAGCGCAAACGGUUACGGGGGAGGAGGUGCUGCUCACCGAGGUGGAGAUUGGCCGGAGGCGGCGUGCAGAGGCGUUGCCGGUGACGUCCGGCGGCGGAAGCCGGUACUGCACACGCGAACGGUCGUUUCAGGGGUGCCCCGGGCGUGCUGAUCCGUUGAGGGAGUCCGUGCGGAACCUGUGGAGGUGUAGAGGGGGUGAGGAGGGUCCUGGAAUCGCCGGCAUCCAGGAAUCGCACGACGGACAGAGGCUCACCGGAGUUGUUCACGCGCAGUUCAAGCGGCCACAGGGGAUGGGGCUGGAAUUGAAGCUUCAGAGAGGUCCCUGGGCACGUGUCGAAGCUGCGUCGUGGCUCGAGCAAGUCUGUGGUGCGGUGGAGGGGCGAGUCCACGGUGGAGCAGGGGCGCCGAGCGGCGGAGCAAGGCAGAGGGAACUCUAGGGUUUGGAAGCGCCGCCAAGAAUGGGAAUAAGACGCAGGAGGGGUCGGGAUCGCUAGAUAAGGCCCGGCCGGGAGUCUCGUCGUGCGGGCCCAGGGGAGAGCAGCUCGCCGGAGAUCUCGGGAGGGCGUUGCGCCGGAGAAGAAAGAGGAAGGGGAGAGAUAGCGCUGGCAAGUGGGGUCGGUCUGGCAGAGGAAGGGCGCUCGGCGGGGAGCAGAGGGGAACGGGCUGGGCGGCCAUGCGCAGCCCACGCGCGGAGGGGAAAAAAAGAAAGGAGGGGUGCUGGGCCUCGGUGGCCCAUGCGGGAGAGAGGGGGGAAAAGGGCCCGAGGGGGAAAAGGAAGGGAGGAGAGAGGAAGUGGGCCGGGCUGAGAGAGGGUUGGGCUCCCUUCUUUUAUUCCUUCUCCUUUUUCUUUUUCUAUACUCUAACCAUUCAAACCAUUCCAUUUGAAUUCAAAUAAAUUUGAAUUCAAACCCAACACAAAUAAAACAAUGCACCAGCAUGAAUGCACAAGCAAGUUGACCUUACAAUUAAUUUUACUUUCUUGUGUUAUAAAUUGCUUUAAAUGCCACAAAAAUUAAAGAAGACCUGGUAAUUUCAUUUGAACCAAAAUAAAUUCUUUAAAAUUUAAGGAGAUUACCUUAGGGUGUUACAGUAGUGGCUCCAUGUAAUGGUUCUUUUGAUGACGCAAGCAGACCAAAAUAUUCCGGUACCUCAGUAGCAUUCUCAACCUGUUGGACAAAAUCAUCCAUCAUUGCAUCCAUCCUAUCUCCAUUUUUCUCAAAGCUAUCAACUAGGCUGUAUAGCUCCUGCUCC
rnacentral:lncRNA from 1 species